UUAACACAUUUAUAUAAAACAUAGAAUUUCACAGUUGCCAAAUUGUAAACAAUCAAAUUUAUAUAUAUAAAGGAGUGAAAUACAAGCAAUUACAUUUACAUUUUUUUUAAAACUUUUUAAAAUUUUUACUUCAUAAAUUUAAGUAAUUGUUCUUAGAUAUCUAAUACACAUCUAAAUGAACUACAAAGGAUUAUUUGCUAUUUCCUUAGUCAUGAUGGCAUUAUUAAGUGUUAUGGUUGAAGCUGAUAUUGAGGCGCAUCCUGCAGAACCUGAGGAGGGAGAAGGAAGGCACGGAUUUAUUGAAAGAAUGUGCCCUCGUGUGAGAUGCUCUUAUUACUGUACUAGAUAUAGGCGUAGAAACGGAUGCUAUUAUUGUGCUUGCUGGGACUGAGACAAAAUUUUUUAAUAAAUUAUUUUAAUAUAAAAUUUACAUUUUAAAAAAACAUGAUUAAACCAAUUUUUUCUAUCAAUUUUAUUUCUAUUAUAUAUUACUUGAAAAAAAAAAUUAUGCGAGAGCAUUAAACAGAAAUUUUUUGUGAAAGUCUAAAUUAUUUAGAUAGCAAUUACAUAAUUUUAAAUAAACCUUAACAAAUAUUUGUA